rnacentral:lncRNA from 1 species
UAUGUUAUCUAGUAAGAUACUAUCGAACAAACAGACAAAAAAGUUUAACGAUUUUGUAAGUAAUACGUUGGGCAAUGGUCGUGCUAAUGGUUCUUGCAGAUCUAAUGGUUCUUGCAGAUCUAAUGGUUCUUGCAGAUCUAAUGGUUCUAGUGGUUCUAGUGGUUCUAGUCUUCUUAGUGGUUCUAGUGGUUCUAGUGGUUCUAGUGGUUCUAGUGGUUCUAUAGAUAACAAAUUAGAUAAACAGGCAAGUGUAGGAGGACUACAAGUACAGGGACAGACACAUGAACAGGAACCAGAACAGGAACCGAAGCAGACAAAAACACAAGCACAUGAGGAGACAAAAACACAAGCACAUGAUGAGACAAAAACACAAGCACAUGAGGAGACAAAAACACAAGCACAUGGGGAGACAAAAACACAAGCACAUGGGGAGACAAAAACACAAGCACAUGAGGAGACAAAAACACAGGAACAGGAACUGAAAGAGAGAAAUAAGAAAAACGCACAGGAAGGAAAAAACAACAGCAUAUGGGAUAUUAUUUACAAUACUAGUAGUUUUGAAAAAUUACCUCAAUUUUUCAUGAAAAGUAAUUCAAAUAGUGUUAAUGAUAAUACAACUGCUGAUUCUAAUAAUAAUGCUGCCAAUAAAGUUACGAAUAAUGCGAGUGACGAUAGCACCCACAAUGUUGAGUGUCAUAACACCAACAAAAUGGCAAAUGAAAUGGCAAACAAAAACAAACUAAACACACUGCCAUAUGGAAUAAAUGUACAACCGUUUCCUAUUAGAUUAAGAAAAAAUGUUAAGACACGUAAAAAAAAAAAUCAAGUGAGUAGUAAAAAUAGUUAUGAUGAUAUCAUUAAUCGGAUGAAUAAAAUCCUGAAUAGAAGAAAAAGUUACAUACACGACUAUAUUUCAAAAUGUAGAAGUAAAAAAGGGUAUAAUCUAAGUUGUAAUAGCAGCAGAAACAGAAUCGGAUAUAGCAACACAAAAAGUAACACAAAAUACAACACAAAAUACAACAUAAAAUACAACACAAAAUGCAACACAAAAUGCAACACAAAAAGUAAUAAUGGAGCUAGUUAUAGUAAUCUCACGCAACCAAAUUUAAAUAUGCUCGAGCAAUAUGUUGCUACACAUGAUAAAGUAUAUAAAAGUUGGGAACAGAAAAAUGAAUUUUCUAACACUAUGAAUACUACUACACAAAUAAAUAAUACAAGUAACUACUAUGAUAACUGUCCGAAUACACAAGAAAGCUGUAAAAUCAUAAAAGAUUUAAGCGAAAUUAACAAAAAUCAAACAUGUAUUAGGAAUACAUGUGAAUAUACAAGUAGCGUCACAACUGAACCAGAACCCGAACCUGUUAAAAGUGAGAGUACAAAAAGCAAAAAAAAACGACAAUACUUAUUCGAAAGAUGAUAAUAAUAUAUCAUAUGAUGAUUUGGACAAUUCGUUUAAAUAUACUAAUAAACCAACAGUUGUUAACA